rnacentral:misc_RNA from 1 species
AAGUCGUAACAAGGUUUCCGUAGGUGAACCUGCGGAAGGAUCAUUAUCGUACAAUGGAGGUGCUGGGGUUGUCGCUGACUUUUGAAAAUCGUCGUGCACACCUCGGUGCUCUUCACAUACAAUCCAUCUCACCCCUCUUGUGCAUCACCGCGUGGAGGCCCCUUUUGGCUAGUUCUAAGGGGGGUUUUCACGUUUUUAUACAUACACCAUUUUAAUGCAAUGCGUAGAAUGUCAUACUUUUGCGAUCACACGCAAUUAAUACAACUUUCAACAACGGAUCUCUUGGCUCUC